rnacentral:snRNA from 1 species
AUACUUACCUGGCAGGGGAGAUACCAUGAUCACGAAGGUGGUUUUCCCAGGGCGAGGCUUAUCCAUUGCACUCCGGAUGUGCUGACCCCUGCGAUUUCCCCAAAUGUGGGAAACUCGACUGCAUAAUUUGUGGUAGUGGGGGACUGCGUUCGCGCUUUCCUCUG